UUUGAUCGUGGUUAUAUAUCACCUUAUUUUGUCACUGACAGUGAAAAAAUGGCAGUUGAAUAUGAGAACUGCAAGUUGCUUCUUGUUGAUAAGAAAAUAACAAAUGCAAGGGAUCUCAUUAACAUUCUGGAAGAGGCAAUCAGGGCUGGAUACCCAAUUCUGAUUAUUGCUGAAGACAUUGAGCAAGAAGCGCUGGCAACUCUUGUUGUGAAUAAACUUAGGGGUGCUUUGAAGAUUGCUGCUCUCAAAGCUCC
rnacentral:misc_RNA from 1 species